rnacentral:rRNA from 1 species
UUGAACGCUGGCGGCAGGCCUAACCCAUGCAAGUCGAGCGGAUGAAGGGAGCUUGCUCCUGGAUUCAGCGGCGGACGGGUGAGUAAUGCCUAGGAAUCUGCCUGGUAGUGGGGGAUAACGUCCGGAAACGGGCGCUAAUACCGCAUACGUCCUGAGGGAGAAAGUGGGGGAUCUUCGGACCUCACGCUAUCAGAUGAGCCUAGGUCGGAUUAGCUAGUUGGUGGGGUAAAGGCCUACCAAGGCGACGAUCCGUAACUGGUCUGAGAGGAUGACCAGUCACACUGGAACUGAGACACGGUCCAGACUCCUACGGGAGGCAGCAGUGGGGAAUAUUGGACAAUGGGCGAAAGCCUGAUCCAGCCAUGCCGCGUGUGUGAAGAAGGUCUUCGGAUUGUAAAGCACUUUAAGUUGGGAGGAAGGGCAGUAAGUUAAUACCUUGCUGUUUUGACGUUACCAACAGAAUAAGCACCGGCUAACUUCGUG